rnacentral:rRNA from 1 species
GACGAACGCUGGCGGCGUGCUUAACACAUGCAAGUCGAACGAGGUACAGGGAGCUUGCUCUCUGAACCGAGUGGCGAACGGGUGAGUAACACGUGACCAACCUGUCCUAGGGUGAGGGACAACCUGGGGAAACCCGGGCUAAUACCGCAUGAUGUCUCGAGGUCGCAUGGCCUCGAGAUCAAAGAGGGCCUCUGCUUGCAAGCUCUCGCCCAGGGGAGGGGUCGGCGGCGUAU